rnacentral:rRNA from 1 species
AGAACGAACGCUGGCGGCAUGCCUAAUACAUGCAAGUCGAACGAACUCUUCGGAGUUAGUGGCGCACGGGUGCGUAACGCGUGGGAAUCUGCCCUUGGGUUCGGAAUAACAGUUGGAAACGACUGCUAAUACCGGGUGAUGACGAAAGUCCAAAGAUUUAUCGCCCAGGGAUGAGCCCGCGUAGGAUUAGCUAGUUGGUGAGGUAAAGGCUCACCAAGGCGACGAUCCUUAGCUGGUCUGAGAGGAUGAUCAGCCACACUGGGACUGAGACACGGCUCAGACUCCGUACGGGAGGCAGCAGUAGGGAAUAUGGACAAUGGGCGAAAGCCUGAUCCAGCAAUGCCGCGUGAGUGAUGGAAGGCCGUUAGGGUUAGUAAAGCGUUACUUUUACCCGGAGUAUGUAAUAAUGAACAGUAGUCGGAAGAAUAACGGCCCCGACUAACCGUACCGUCGACCGACGCACGGCCGGUACGGUAACUCGUGA